rnacentral:ncRNA from 1 species
UUAAAUGUAAAAUUUAAUUCUAGUUUUUUGUGAUAAUUUUAUAUUAAUUUUAAUAUGUAAGUAUUUGCGUGAAUUUAUAUUUAUUUAAAUAAUAAAUUAUUUAUAUUAUUCGCAGUUUUUAAUUUUGUACAUAAUUUAAUAAUUUAAGAUACAUUUAAUUAUAUAAUGACUAGCAAAAAUUGUGCCAGCAGCUGCGGUUAUACAAUUGGUCAGGAUUAUUAUUUUUAGAGUAUUAUUAUUUAUUAAUAAUAAAUUUAUUGAUUAUAUACUUCAGAUUUUAAAGUGAAAUUUUAAAUUUGACUAUAAUGAUUAGGUAAAUAUAUAAAAUAUUAUAAGAUAUUUUUAAUAAUAAACUAGGAUUAGAUACCCUAUUAUUAAAAAUGUAAAUUUUUCUCUCAGUAUUAAUAGUUAAGAUCUUUAAAUUGAAAGAAUUUGACGGUAAUUUUAAUCAUUUUAGAGGAACCUGUUCUGUAAUCGAUAAUCCACGAUAAAUUUUACCUUUAAUAUUUAUUUGUUUGUAUAUCUCUGUCUUAUAGAAUGUUUUAUUAGAAUAUUUUCAUUAAUUUUUAGUAAAAAUUAUGUCAGGUCAAGGUGCAGCUGUGUAAAGGUUUGAAAUGGGUUACAUUAAUUUGUUAAUUUUGGAUAGUUUUUUUAUAAGGGGCUUGAAAUUGGAUUUAAUUGUAAUGUAUAAAAUAUAUUAUUCAUGAUAUAUGUUCUUGAUUAAGUACAUAUCGCCCGUCACUCUCAUUAUAUAAGAUGAGAUAAGUCGUAACAAAGUAGUUCUACUGGAAGGUGGAGCUAGAUUAAUA